rnacentral:rRNA from 1 species
CGAAGCGUGCUGUUGGAGUGCACGUCCAAGCAGUGAGAUUGAGUGUUAGGCAAAUCCGGCACUCUUAAGAUUGAGCUGUGAUGGGGAGAGGAACUUGUUCCUCGAGUCGUUGAUUUCACACUGCCGAGAAAAGCCUCUAGCUAGAAUAACGGUGCCCGUACCGCAAACCGACACAGGUAGUCAAGAUGAGAAUUCUAAGGUGAGCGAGCGAACUCUCGUUAAGGAACUCGGCAAAAUGACCCCGUAACUUCGGGAGAAGGGGUGCUCUUUGAGGUUCACGCUUCGAAGAGCCGCAGUGAAUAGGCCCAAGCGACUGUUUAUCAAAAACACAGGUCUCUGCUAAACCGUAAGGUGACGUAUAGGGGCUGACGCCUGCCCGGUGCUGGAAGGUUAAGAGGAGUGGUUAGCGCAAGCGAAGCUACGAAUCGAAGCCCCAGUAAACGGCGGCCGUAACUAUAACGGUCCUAAGGUAGCGAAAUUCCUUGUCGGGUAAGUUCCGACCCGCACGAAAGGCGUAACGAUUUGGGCACUGUCUCAACGAGAGACUCGGUGAAAUCAUAGUACCGGUGAAGAUGCCGGUUACCCGCGACAGGACGGAAAGACCCCGUGGAGCUUUACUGUAGCCUGAUAUUGAAAUUCGGUACAGUUUGUACAGGAUAGGUAGGAGCCUUAGAAGCGUGAGCGCUAGCUUACGUGGAGGCAUUGGUGGGAUACUACCCUAAUU